GACGAACGCUGGCGGCGUGCUUAACACAUGCAAGUCGAACGGAAAGGCCCUGCUUUUGUGGGGUUCUCGAUUGGCGAACGGGUGAGGAACACGAGUGUAACCUGCCCUUCACUUUGGGAUAACUUCAGGAAACUGGGGCUAAUACCGGAUAGGAGCUCCUCCUCCAUGGGGGGGGGUGGAAAGUCUCGGCGGUUGGGGAUGGACUCGCGGCUUAUCAGCUUGUUGGUGGGGUAGUGGCUUGCCCAGGCUGUGACGGGUAGCCGGCCUGAGAGGGUGACCGGCGACAUUGGGACUGAGAUACGGCCCAGACUCCAACGGGAGGCAACAGUCGGGAAUAUUGCACAAUGGGCGGAAGUCUGAUGCAGCAACGCCGCGUGCGGGAUGACGGCCUUCGGGUUGUAAACCGCUUCCGCCUGUGACGAAGCGUGAGUGACGGUAAUGGGUAAAGAAGCACCGGCUAACUACGUG
rnacentral:rRNA from 1 species